rnacentral:rRNA from 1 species
UGGGGAAUAUUGGACAAUGGGGGAAACCCUGAUCCAGCGACGCCGCGUGAGUGAAGAAGGUUUUCGGAUCGUAAAGCUCUGUUGUAAGUCAAGAACGAGUGUGAGAGUGGAAAGUUCACACUGUGACGGUAGCUUACCAGAAAGGGACGGCUAACUACGUGCCAGCAGCCGCGGUAAUACGUAGGUCCCGAGCGUUGUCCGGAUUUAUUGGGCGUAAAGCGAGCGCAGGCGGUUUGAUAAGUCUGAAGUUAAAGGCUGUGGCUCAACCAUAGUUCGCUUUGGAAACUGUCAAACUUGAGUGCAGAAGGGGAGAGUGGAAUUCCAUGUGUAGCGGUGAAAUGCGUAGAUAUAUGGAGGAACACCGGUGGCGAAAGCGGCUCUCUGGUCUGUAACUGACGCUGAGGCUCGAAAGCGUGGGGAGCGAACAGGAUUAGAUACCCUGGUAGUCCACGCCGUAAACGAUGAGUGCUAGGUGUUGGAUCCUUUCCGGGAUUCAGUGCCGCAGCUAACGCAUUAAGCACUCCGCCUGGGGAGUACGACCGCAAGGUUG